rnacentral:rRNA from 1 species
CGCGUAGGCGGUUCGUCAAGUCCUGUGUGAAAUCCCCCGGCUCAACUGGGGAACUGCACAGGAAACUAGCGGGCUUGAGUUCGGGAGAGGGAAGCGGAAUUCCGGGUGUAGCGGUGAAAUGCGUAGAUAUCCGGAGGAACACCGGUGGCGAAGGCGGCUUCCUGGACCGACACUGACGCUGAGGCGCGAAAGCUAGGGGAGCAAAACG